ACGAGUAUGUCAGAGUUUGAUCCUGGCUCAGGACGAACGCUGGCGGCGUGCCUAACACAUGCAAGUCGAGCGGGGACAUGAGGAAGCUUGCUUCCGAGUGUUCUAGCGGCGGACGGGUGAGUAACGCGUGAGCAACCUUUCUCUCAGUGGGGAAUAACACAGGGAAACUUGUACUAAUACCGCAUGAGACCACAGCAUCGCAUGGUGCGGGGGUCAAAGAUUAAUCGCUGAGAGGUGGGCUCGCGUCUGAUUAGAUAGUUGGUGGGGUAACGGCCUACCAAGUCGACGAUCAGUAGCCGACCUGAGAGGGUGAUCGGCCACAUUGGGACUGAGACACGGCCCAA
rnacentral:rRNA from 1 species